rnacentral:tRNA from 1 species
CGGGGUGUGGUGUAGUGGUCAACAUGCGUGCUUUGGGAGCACGAGAUCCCCAGUUCAAAUCUGGGCACCCCGACCA